UGGAACAUGUGGAACAUGUGGAACAAGUUGAACAAGUGGAACAAGUUGAACAUGUGGAACAUAUGGAACAUGUGGAACAAGUUGAACAUGUGGAACAUGUGGAACAAGUUGAACAUAUGGAACAUGUUCCACAUGUUGAACAUGUGGAACAAGUUGAACAUAUGGAACAUGUUCCACAUGUUGAACAUGUGGAACAAGUUGAACAUGUGGAAAAUGUUGAACAUGUGGAACAAGUUGAACAUGUGGAACAUGUGGAACAUGUUGAACAAAUGGAACAUGUGGAACUAGCGACUCUUCCUGUUGUCCUUGUGCACUUUGCUCUCAACUCUACAUCAUUUGUUUCAAGUGCAACAAUCUCUCCACAUUCAUCAGGAUGUUUUCCACCCAGUCUUUUAGGGACACGGUGGUGGUUCUCUGCAGGGUGGAUGUUGAGAUGGAAGUAGCCUAGCAGCUAGCUUAGCAUAGCGGUGCUUUGAGUGUUCUGUUUGACCCGUGGAGGAAUUCCUCUGCUCAGUUCCGUCUCGCUCUCCAUCUAUCUGACUGCAGGGUGGUGGCUUCAGGGGUCAAGGGUCAACGCACACCAGAAGGAAACAAAGCUGCAUUUAAAUAUGGUUGAAUGCACUUAUUGUACGUCGCUUUGGAUAAAAGCGUCAGCUAAAUGACAUGUAAUGUAAUGUAAUGUAAUGUAAAAUAUUUUAUCCCGUUAAUCACAGCCACAAUAAUCUCAUAGAUUAAUACGUUGACAGCCUUAAUAAAAAGCUUUUCUUUAAACAGAUUUUAGAUAAAAAAACGAUAUGUUGAUAUAUUUCACCUGCAGGAGCAGCUCGGGUCAGACUCACUACCGUGUUUGGAAACGGACCCUAAUGGACACAAUUAUUAUUCAAACUUCUCUUUACUCACAAAAACAUGAAAUUGAUCAUUUUAUCCGUUUAGUUGUAAAUAUGAUAAAGAAUCCGCAUUUAUGUUUAAUGGCUUUACUUCAUAUCCAGAACCUCACACAACGUCGACAUGUCGACUUUAUUCUGUUUCUGGAUCUCAUAUCAUCAAUCACACAGAUUCAAAGUCCCUGCAGGAAGUAUUAGUACUUGGUCUGGUCUGGAUGAGCGGCGUGUCUGCGUGGAUGCUGGGGCCACAUUUGGGCUUCAGGGUGAGAACUUUCACUUCCUGUGGCGUGGGAGGAAACCAGCGAGCGCCGUGAGAGCUUCAAGCCGCUUAACGUCCGUCUUUAUAUAUUUACACUGUGGAUCUUUUAUGGCGCACAAUACUCAAAAGUACUUAAAUAACUUUUCUCAGAACAUAUACUAAACUUUAUUAUUGUUUUGAAAUAGGUUAUUACGAGAUACUGUACUAUAUUCAUACUGUCUUUGUAUUACAAUAUUUAUCUAUUAAUACUUGCUGCUAUAUACGAGUUAUUAAUGACAUACGUUUAUAAAACAUUUGUGACAUACUACGGCUUCAAAGUGUUUGUAUUAAAAUACAUUACGGAGGCUUCAAAGAUUCUCUGAGAUGCGGCUGAUUUUUAGUCCUUCAUGAGUACUUUAUGACUCAUGAAGGACUAUUUGACUAACAACAAGAAGCACGAACCACGUCCCCAUGAAAGUUCAAUCAACGGGUCUCUAAAAGCACAAAAACAUCAUUUUGUACAAAUGACUUUAAAAGAUCCACUUUAUUUAUCAAACAGCCGGAAGCUCAAAUCGCUUUAGAUGAACGUUGUUAUCAUUACAAAUGAAGCUGUGCUGUGUGACGCUUGAGGGCCUGGUCUCCACCUGGUCUUCAGGGUGGUGUGAUAACGUCCUGCUGUAGGUGGGACUACGCUGUGAGCCGACCUCGGCCCGCUCACAGCGCGUAGAAGAGGAAAAAGCAGCGGUCCUCAUCGGAAGGCCGGCGCUGGAUGCUGUCUGGGAUCAAAUCUGCCCCCAUAAUCUUCUUCACCAUGAUGCUGAUGCUGGUGCCGCUGUGCAGUUGCACCUUCUCCAGGACGACGUACUUUCCGUCCUGGUGGUUCCUCUUCUGGAUUGUUCUGCUGUCGUCACCGUGGGUCUGCGUGAGCACCAGCUCUCCUUCCAAGUUGCUCUCUAUCUCUCCGUAAAUGAAGUAGUGAGCAGUCCGAUUGAUGGUGAAGACCAGGUAUCGCUGCUCCGGGUUCAUCUCUGUGGGACACAAAGGUUCUCCAUGAGGAGCCAACAUCUCAAAGGGAGAGCAGGAAGCCAUGAAAUACAGGUGAUGCUCACUUCUCUGAGUGCAGGUUACGUUGAAUUUCACCUGAGCAUCUGAUGGACUUGAACCCUGCAGACAGACAGACAGGUAGAUCAUGGAGACACGGUGCAGACAGACAGGUAGAUUGUAGAGACACGGUGCAGACAGACAGAUACCACACAGAGGACAUGAACCAAUGAGGCGUUGCUCACCUGGCUGCAUGAAGGGGUGGACAUGAACAAAUGCAGCAUGAAGGCCGUCCCCAGAGCCACCAUGACCCCCCCCAUCACUGAUGCCGAGGCAGCCGCACAUUUGAAGCCGCCACGGCGGUCUGCAGGAGAGUCUCCGGGUGGGUUCUCGACCAUCACCAGGGCGUCCCUCUGUCCUACCUGAUGUCCCUCCAUGGUGCAUUCUGUAAAGCUUGUUAUGCACAUUAUGUCCUUAAUAUAGUCCAUCUUCCCACACACCGGGACACGGAGUGGGAAUCCCAAGCUCACCUAAGCCCCGCCCCCCCACACAAUAGAAAGCAAAUAGAGAGCAGAGGGAAUCCCUCGACGCCCACGCGUCCCAUAACCUCUGGAUGGAAGUCGCUUAACGAUUCAAACAAUAAAGUAACGAGUCAUGAAGAAGAGUUCACGAGGGGUUAUGAACCAUUCAGUCCCCCCUUCCCUCUCCAGGAGAGGAUCCUGGGAGCUGGAAUGACCCAACAUGCUCCAAACACUUCCAACACGCUCCCAACAUACUCAAACACGCUCCCAACAUGCUCCCUGAAGAUGCUUUCACCCGAUCGUGUAACCUGUUUUAUUAGAUGAAAUAGUCCUUAUCUCACCUCCCUCUCUUCCAUUAAGCCGCAAACUCCUCCCCCAGAGAAACUGCUGCUGUUGCAUCACUGCCCCCCCUCCUCCACCACCCCCUCCCCCAAGCUCUUGCAUCAUCAUUGCUUUCCCAUGUCUGAUCUCGGCUCACAAUGUGGGGUUAUCUCAUCCAUGUGUGGGUGUGGGUUUGUCUCUGUGUGUGUGUGUGUGUGUGUGUGUGUGUGCGUGUGUGUGUGAUCACCUCCUUAUCAGUGAACUCACUCUGGAGUUUCAUUAGAAAACGAAACCUUUGUGAAGUUGCAGGUUUCAGUAAUAAAGGAAACAAACUCAGACGGUGACGGACGACGUGUUUUAUUCUGCGAGUCGCGUCCUUCAGUUGUUACGACGCACAGCUUUUAUAUUCACACUCAUGUAACACUGGACAUUUAAAGUGAAAUAGAACAAUAGAGUUCAACACAAACACACUAACUGCCGAUGACACAACACACACACAGACACACACACACGCACACACACACACACAGGUCCCACGUGUGUUUGUAGCUUUGAUGCCCUUUGCUCUCCAGAGUAGAAACCUGCUUUAUGAGAGCAGCAGUUUCACCACAGGCUGGAGUCUGGAUGAGACCUCAUGGGGCCACAGGGUCCUCAUCUGUGAGCACGAAGACACAAAUAACCACCAGCAUAUGAAUCAUAAAUGCUGUUUAUUAAGUUAUGAAUGUCACCGGGCAUCGUUUGACCCUCUACGGAAGCUGUGACACCAGACGAUUGAAGGUGUGAAUCACACAUGUGUUUCGCCUGGUGUCUCCAUGUCUUAUAGCACGGAUUGCGCUCUUAAUGAUCUGAUUUCAGCCGAGUCUCAAAGUUUGAAGGUUUUUUUGUGUGUUAUAUUGAUUUAUUUCGUCACCAUAACAUGUAAACUGAUUGUUACGCAUUAGAACACUUACAGGUUCCCCUUCAUCCUACAGGAGAUGAGAUGAUGGAGCAUCUGGGGCCAUUUUCAGAGCAGAGGCCAAAAAACGUAUAGUAGCAUCAUUUAUAGUUAGAUUGUAUUUUGUAAUAAAUGUAAUAGAAAGUUAGAGAAUUGUACAUUUCAAGGCAUUAAAAUGUCUGAAUAUAAUGAUCAAAAUGUAGUUUGUUGAAAACGUCAUAGAAUAGAUCAUGAAGGUAUUGAAAAAUAUCACAAUAAUCCCAGUAAGUUAGUAAGUGAGUGAAUUAUUUUUAUGCACACGUUUAUGCACACACAUGUUCAACGACAUAUGCACACAUGUUCAACGACACAUGCACACAUGUUCAAUGACAUAUGCACACGCGUUCAACGACAUAUGCACACAUGUUUCAUAACAUGCAUAAAUGACAUUUUUUAUUCAUGAGGCAACACGUAAAUAAUGAUGAUGAAAAGUCUUUUCAUGGAAUUAGAAGAUGGCGGUUUAUGUCACUUAGACAUGUUCGAUGAGGAUUACAGAAGUUAUUGUUUUAUUAUGAAGAUGCUUCUUUAAAUGAGAAACUUCUGCUCUAAACAUGAUGAGUCAUUUGUUAAUAGAAGGGAAAUAAUAAAUUAAGCAAAUCAAAAGUUCAGCUCAACACAUAAAAUUGCACUUUCUUGUUUCUUGUUCUUUGACGUCGUAUCCCCCCCCCCCCCCUAAAACAGCUGGCAGCGGCUGCCCAGCAGGUAGCUCAGGGCCACCGUCAUGUUCUUCACCUUGAAGCCGGCAGUGGAGUUGAGACGGAGGCGGAGCCUCUCCUUGUUCCGCAGGUAGGCGGUGCUGUGGAGCCCCCUGCAGACCUCCACGGAGGCCCGCAGGGGGAAGGAGCUGGCGGGGGCCUCCCGGCCCUGCACCCACAGCUCCAGUGUCCCCAGGGCCCCCCCCUGGUCCCGGUCCUUGUAGCACAGGUACAGGUACAACACGUAGGGGCCCGUGCAGUUCACCUGGAUCUGGUCCUUCUCCUCGGGGACCAGGCUCAUCAUGUGACUGCUGUAGACCCCCCCGAACGGCACCCACACCUCGCCCGAGAAGUCUGCAGGGGACGAGGGAGCUUAUUGAUCACAUCUUAG
ensembl:lncRNA